GAUCUUCACUUCCAAAGGAUAAUUUCUCUGGAUGCAGAAUUCUAAGUUGGAGGGAUUUUUCUUUCAGUACCUUAGAUAUUUCAUUCCUAUCUCUUCUUGUUUGCAUGGUUUCUAAGGAGAGCUCAGAUGUAAUUUUCAUCCUUGUUUCUCUACAGGGAAGGAAUUUUUAAACUCUAACUUCUUUCAAGAUUUACUCUUUGUCUUGGUUUUCUACAAUUUGAAUAUGGUAUGCCUAAGUUCUAGAAGUUUUUCAUCAUUCCAGAUGGAAAAACUCUGUGCCAUUAAGAAGUCACUCUUCAUUGCUCCCUGCUCCCACUGGCACCUGCUAAUAUGGUCUCUAUUACUACGGAUUUUACCUAUUCUGGAUACUUCAUAUAAAUUGAAUCAUACAGUGACCAGAACAAUGUUGAAAGGAAGAAAGGAAGCUAUAGUAACAUGCAAAGCAGAUCUGUCUUUAGGAAAUAGUCUGCUUGGAUCCAGAUUCAAGAGUUGGAUCUUUUCAUUCAACUUACAUUUUAUGGGUACCAUCAUGUGUCACUUACCCAAGGUAUACAUUCUGAAAACUUCAUCAUCGGGUAUCACUGUUAUGAACAUCAUAGAGUAUACUCACACAAACUUACAUGGUAUAGCCUACAACAAAUCUAGGAUAUGGCAUAUACCAUCAUGUAUGCAUUGACUAAACCAUAGUUAUUGGCUCAUGGUGGUACUUUUGCCAAGUAUUUUUUGAGAUUAGGAUAAGAGUUGAAUAAGAUUUAGUCCCCGCCCUGGAAGAGUUCAUAUUUUUGUGAGAAAUACAAAUAUAUAAACAAAUAAUUACCAUAUUAAACAUUGUAAGUACUAGAAUAGAGGUAUUCUAGAAACAUAUGUGAGCCUAAAGUAUCAGAAAAAAAUCCUCAUGGAUAGAAUAUUUGAGCUAAAUAUUGAAGCAUAAGGAGAAAUUUACUAGGCAGACAUUAGAAAGAAUGCCAUGAGGAAGGGUAGAGAAGGAAAAGAAACAUGAAUUAUUUGGAAACCAUCAGAAAGUUUCCCCUAAUUAUAAUGGUACAUGUAUGAUGAUGAAAUUGUAAAGGUAGAAUGACAUUAUAAAAAAUCAUGGAGUUUGGGUUUUAUCGUGUUAAUUACAAACUUCACUUACUCAUAUUCUUUUUUCUUUAAAUACAUGACAAUAGUGGAAUGCAUUACACUCAUUAUUGCCCAUGUACAGCACAAUUUUUUGUAACUCCGUAUAUAAAGUAUGUUCACACCAAAUUAUGCCAUUAUACAUGUACUCUUUUUUUUUUUUGCAUUGAAAUUCUUUUUUUUAAAUAUUUAUUUUUUAGGUGUAGAUGAACACAACACAAUGCCUUUAUUUUUAUGUGGUGCUGAGGAUGGAACCCAGGUCCCGCCCAUGCUAGGCGAGCGCUCUACCACUGAGCCACAAUCCCAGCCUCUGCAUUACAAUUCUUAAUACACAUAUAUACCACAAUUUUUCAUAUGUCUGUUUAUAUAUAAGGUAUGUUGACACCAAAUUCAGAUCUUUAUACAUGUAUUUUGUAUAAUGAUGACCCUCACAUUCCACCAUCCUUGCUAUUUUAGUUGUAUAUGAACACAAUGCCUUUGCUUAUUUAUUUUUAUGUGAUGCUAAGGAUUGAACCCCGUUCCCCACAUGUGCUAGGCAAGUGCUCUACCACUGAGCUGCAACCUCAGGCCUUACUUCUCAUAUUCUAUCUUCAACAUUUUAAUGUCUAAAAAUUAGGCAAUAGUAUCUUUGAAUUCAUGUGUUUUAUGAUGUGUUUCUUAAUAUAUCAAAAUAAAACUAUACCUAUUAAAAUAUAUUUGUACUACCUGUAAUCACUUUGUGGACUUUUCUAUACCCCUACUGUAUACAAAGCUAAGUCAAAAGCAUUGUUUGAGAGAAAUUGGGUAGAGGAGUAAAACAGGAACUAUUUUAAAGGCUGUCAAAAUAAUGAUGUUAAAAUCUUGAACUAAAAAUAGCUUUAUUGGCAAGGGUGGAAAAGAAGGGAAGGGAUUUUAAAAGAGAUAGGACUUAAGAAAGGAUAGGAUUUAUGAUUAAUUAGAGGAAGGUAGGGAUAUUUAUGAA